rnacentral:misc_RNA from 1 species
GUACUCUCACACUCUCUGAUCUUGCAUUGGGGAGCGGUGGACCUGGAUGUUGCUGCGUCGCUGUGGCUCAUCUGAAAUGGGUUAGUGCGUCUCAUUGUUGGACUUGUACAGCGUGAUAAGCAUCUUCGCUGGCACCUUUCAUUUGGUGGUCCAACUGGGAGCUCUGUGCUUCAAACAGUCCUUGCGACAAAUAUCUGACA